GAUUAAGCCAUGCACGUUUAAAUACAAGCCUCUUUAUGGUGAAAUCGCGAAUAGCUCAUUACAACAGCCAUUGUUUCUUGGAUCUUACUCUCUACUUGGAUAACUGUGGUAAUUCUAGAGCUAAUACAUGCACUCAAGUUCUGACGUAAGGAGGAACGCAUUUAUUAGAACUAAACCAAUCGGGCUUGCCCGUUGUUUGGUGAAUCUGAAUAACUCCGCAGAUCGCAUGGUCUAGCACCGGCGACAUAUCUUUCAAGUGUCUGCCUUAUCAACUUUCGAUGGUAGUUUAUGUGACUA
rnacentral:rRNA from 1 species